rnacentral:rRNA from 1 species
UUUUGGCGCGAUCGCCUUUGGUAUGAUGUGGCUCUUGAUGAACGCUACCGGUAGGCUUAUUACAUGCUGCGUCAGGUGGCAGCUGUGUCGCCGUGCUUCAGGUGCGUACCACUUAUGCAUCCUACCUUGUGCUGUGGGAUAGCCCGGAGAAACCCUGAUUGCUACCGCAUGACACGUUUGGUUCUCAUGGACUGCAUGCUGUCUAGGAUUUAUUGUGUUAACAUGGGCAUGCCUGCGAUUAGCUUAUUUGGCAGGGUCACCGCCCCCCGAUGCCACAAUCUAUUGGGGAGCUGAUAGGUUGAUCCCCCCCACCGUCGCUGAGAUGCCGGCCCUACUCCUACGGCAUGCCCCCCUUCGGAAUAUUGUGCCAUGGAUGCCUGUCUGACCCGCCCAUGCCUCGUGCCUGAUGAGCGCCCUCUCGGUUGUGUUGCGCUUUUAUUCGGGACUAACACCACGGAUGCGUCCUUGUGUGACACGUACCGCAAUGAAUAAGCACGCUGCUAACUCCGUGCCUGCAGCCGCGGUAAUACUGACGGUGCGAGCGUUGUCCUGAUUUAUUGGGUUUAGACGGUGCGUAGGUGGCUUUAUAAGUCAGUGGUGAAAUACUUGCGCUCAACCGUUGAGGUGCCAUUGAUACUGUAUAGCUUGACACUACUGCACGCUGCCCGAAUGUAUGGUGUAACCUUCAGCUGCAUAGGUGUCAUCUCCAUCCCGACUGCGAUGC